AGUGGAUGAUACCUCAGACUCUGAUUCUGAAAUUGUAAUCACAACAAGGAGCACAGCUGAAUUCAAUCGAGCUGACACUUUGGUUUUUGAACCACAAAAUCAAAGUACUCCCAAACUCAAGCUGGAAGAUGAAAGAGAUGCACCAGGACAUCCAUCAACAAUUCAGCCAGGACAGGUA